rnacentral:rRNA from 1 species
AUGAACGUUGGCGGCGUGGAUUAGGCAUGCAAGUCGAGCGCGAACCGUAGCAAUACGGGGAGAGCGGCGAAAGGGAGAGGAAUACGUGGAUACCUACCCUCAGGUUCAGGAUAGCUGUGGGAAACUACAGGUAAUACUGAAUAAUAUCUCCGGAUCAAAGGUGUGAUUCCACCUGAGGAGGGGUCCGCGUCCUAUUAGCUUGUUGGCGAGGUAACGGCUCACCAAGGCGAAGAUGGGUAUGGGAUGUGAGAGCAUGAUCCCACUCACUGGGACUGAGACACUGCCCAGACACCUACGGGUGGCUGCAGUCGAGAAUCUUCGGCAAUGGGGGAAACCCUGACCGAGCGACGCCGCGUGUGAGAUGAAGGCCUUCGGGUUGUAAAUCACUGUCGGAGGGGAGGAAAUGUCGGUGGGUUCUCCCAUCGAUUUGACCUAGCCUCAGAGGAAGGACGGGCUAAGUUCGU